rnacentral:rRNA from 1 species
CCUACGUGAGGCAGCAGUGGGGAAUAUUGCACAAUGGGGGAAACCCUGAUGCAGCGACGCCGCGUGAGCGAUGAAGUAUUUCGGUAUGUAAAGCUCUAUCAGCAGGGAAGAAAAUGACGGUACCUGACUAAGCAGCCCCGGCUAACUACGUGCCAGCAGCCGCGGUAAUACGUAGGGGGCAAGAGUUAUCCGGAUUUACUGGGUGUAAAGGGAGCGUAGACGGCGAUGCAAGCCAGAUGUGAAAGCCCGGGGCUCAACCCCGGGAUUGCAUUUGGAACUGUAUAGCUGGAGUGUCGGAGAGGCAGGCGGAAUUCCUAGUGUAGCGGGGAAAUGCGGAGAUAUUAGGAGGAACACCAGUGGCGAAGGCGGCCUGCUGGACGAUGACUGACGUUGAGGCUCGAAAGCGUGGGGAGCAAACAGGAUUAGAUACCCGUGUAGUC